UAGACAAGAGUUCCUCUUCCGAUUUUUGGUC
rnacentral:piRNA from 1 species